GAUGAAGAACGCAGCGAAAUGCGAUAAGUAAUGUGAAUUGCAGAAUUCAGUGAAUCAUCGAAUCUUUGAACGCACCUUGCACUCCUUGGUAUUCCGAGGAGUACGCCUGUUCGAGUGUUAUGAAGCUCUCAAAACGCAAUUGGCUUAAAACCUGAUUGUUGUUUUGGAUUUGAACUUUGCCGUGUUAUAACGGCUGGUUUUAAAAGUAUUAGCUGGUACUAGAACGAAUUGGUUCUACUCAACGUGAUAAUUAUCUGAUCGUUGAGGACAUUCCGUUCACGAGGAAUGGCCAUAGUAAAUUCAAUGGACUGCUUCUAAUCUGGCUUUAAUUCUUUAUUGGAUUAACCACUUUUCAAAUCUGACCUCGAAUCAGGUGGGACUACCCGCUGAACUUAAGCAUAUCAAUAAGCGGAGGA
rnacentral:misc_RNA from 1 species